GCCGGUGCCGAUGACGCCAAGGUUCCACCUGUUCCCAUCCCGAACACAGAAGUUAAGCUUGGUU
rnacentral:rRNA from 1 species